rnacentral:lncRNA from 1 species
GGCCAUUGAUGUGAGGAGGGAAGGUGGAGAUGCCUUGUUUAGAGAGGUCAGCUAGCACAGUAUCAGUGGAAGGAGGCUUGAGGCCUAAAGGCAAAGGUAACCAUGGCUUGCUUAUUGCUUCUUUCACAACCUUGUCGAUUACCUCCUCUGCCUGCAGUGCAUUCAAACACAAAUUAAUCACAGGGUUAAAACAAAAUUAGUGAAAAUAAAAGUGCAAUAUCAGAUGAAGACACAUUGUAGCAUACCGGCUGAUGUUCAACAGAAUUUUGAGGCAUGCCACUUCUGUUAUCCAUGGUGCCAGAACAAUGAAAUACAGAUGCAUUCUGCAGAUUCGCAAAAUAUUACAAUUCAUUCAUAUACUUAUUUGCUUUUCUUUUUUUUAAAUUCUAAAAAGGGUCAUUGUAUGUAUACCUGAUAACUACUCACUUGAGUGAAUGCAGAACUAUAUCCAUGAGGUGGGGGCAUAACAGGGCAGCCCCACGCAUCGGCAUGCGCCUGAAUAAAAAAAAAUGAUCAUAUAUCAAAUAUGUAGCUGCAUUUCAUAUCUCUGUCCAGGCACUGUGACAUACCGGUUAAUUGAGUCAGCCAAGUAGUUAAAAAAGUUGAAAUUGUAGACCCUAAUAAACUCAC